rnacentral:rRNA from 1 species
CCAGCAGCUGCGGUAAUUCCAGCUCCAAUAGCGUAUAUUUAAGUUGUUGCAGUUAAAAAGCUCGUAGUUGGAUUUCGGGUGGGUUCCAGCGGUCCGCCUCUGGUGAGUACUGCUGGGGCCUAUCUUUCUGUCGAGGACGGGCUCCUGGGCUUCACUGUCCGGGACUCGGAGUCGACGAUGUCACUUUGAGUAAAUUAGAGUGUUCAAAGCAAGCUUACGCUCUGAAUACUUUAGCAUGGAAUGACACGAUAGGACUCUGGCCUAUCUUGUUGGUCUGUAGGACCGGAGUAAUGAUUAAGAGGGACAGUCGGGGGCAUUCGUAUUUCAUUGUCAGAGGUGAAAUUCUUGGAUUUAUGAAAGACGAACUACUGCGAAAGCAUUUGCCAAGGAUGUUUUCAUUAAUCAAGAACGAAAG